rnacentral:tRNA from 1 species
ACUGGGGUUGGCCGAGUGGUUAAGGCGUUGGACUUAAGUUCCAAUGGACAAGUGUCCGCGUGGGGUUCGAACCCCACACCCAGUA